ACUCCUACGGGAGGCAGCAGUAGGGAAUCUUCCACAAUGGACGAAAGUCUGAUGGAGCAACGCCGCGUGAGUGAAGAAGGGUUUCGGCUCGUAAAACUCUGUUGUUAAAGAAGAACAUAUCUGAGAGUAACUGUUCAGGUAUUGACGGUAUUUAACCAGAAAGCCACGGCUAACUACGUGCCAGCAGCCGCGGUAAUACGUAAGUGGCAAGCGUUGUCCGGAUUUAUUGGGCGUAAAGCGAGCGCAGGUCGGUUUUUAAGUCUGAUGUGAAAGCCUUCGGCUCAACCGAAGAAGUGCAUCGGAAACUGGGAAACUUGAGUGCAGAAGAGGACAGUGGAACUCCAUGUGUAGCGGUGAAAUGCGUAGAUAUAUGGAAGAACACCAGUGGCGAAGGCGGCUGUCUGGUCUGUAACUGACGCUGAGGCUCGAAAGUAUGGGUAGCAAACAGGAUUAGAUACCCCUGGUAGGAUAGCG
rnacentral:rRNA from 1 species